rnacentral:rRNA from 1 species
AGUGAACGCUGGCGGUAGGCCUAACACAUGCAAGUCGAACGGCAGCACAGUAAGAGCUUGCUCUUACGGGUGGCGAGUGGCGGACGGGUGAGGAAUACAUCGGAAUCUACUUUUUCGUGGGGGAUAACGUAGGGAAACUUACGCUAAUACCGCAUACGACCUACGGGUGAAAGCAGUGGAUCUUCGGACCUUGCGCGAUUGAAUGAGCCGAUGUCGGAUUAGCUAGUUGGCGGGGUAAAGGCCCACCAAGGCGACGAUCCGUAGCUGGUCUGAGAGGAUGAUCAGCGACACGGGAACGGAGACACGGUCCAGACACCUACGGGAGGCAGAAGUGGGGAAUAUUGGACAAUGGGCGCAAGCAUGAUCCAGCAAUACCGCGUGGGUGAAGAAGGCCUUCGGGUUGUAAAGCCCUUUUGUUGGGAAAGAAAAGCAGCAGGUUAAUACCCCGCUGUUCUGACGGUACCCAAAGAAUAAGCACCGGCUAACUUCGUG